GGGCUAGGGUAAGGUUUAAGUUUUUGGCGUUAGGGUUAAAAUCACUGUCCAAAACCUUUGUAGGAACUCUUUUCCAACCUUUUGGAGUUAGUUAGACCAAAAAAAAAUGAAAAAAGAAAAAAAAAUAUUGGGGGUUUUCGGGCUUCCUGAAAGUAAUACCCGGGUAUUAGGUUUUGGGCUAGGGUAAGGUUUAAGGUUUUUGGCGUUAGGGUUAAAAUCACUGUCCAAAACCUUUGUAGGAACUCUUUUCCAACCUUUUGGAGUUAGUUAGACCAAAAAAAAAAAGAAAAAUGAAAAAAAUAUUUGGGGUUUUCUGGCUUCCUGAA